GACGAACGAUGGCGGCGUGCUUAACACAUGCAAGUCGAACGAAGUGGCGAACGGGUGAGUAAUGCGUAAUCUACCUGCCCUUCAGAGGGGGACAACAGUUGGAAAAGACUGCUAAUACCGCAUACUGAAGGCGGGGAUUGCGUCUGAUUAGGUAGUGGGAGGAGUAACGGCCCACCAAGGCGCUGAUCGGUAGCCGGUCUGGGGGGAUGAACGGCCACAUUGGGGGUGGGAAAGGGCCCAGAAUCCAACGGGAAGCAGCAGUGGGGAGUCUUCCGCAAUGGACGAAAGUCUGACGGAGAAACGCCGCGUGAGGGAUGACGGCCUGCGGGUUGUAAAGCUAUGUUAAUCGGGACGCGGUACCGGAAUAGAAAGCCACGGCUAACUACGUACCAGCAGCCGCGGUAAUAC
rnacentral:rRNA from 1 species